ensembl:misc_RNA Metazoa_SRP Metazoan signal recognition particle RNA
GCCAGGCAUGGUGGCGCAUGCCUGUAAUCCCAGCUACCGGGGAGGCUGAGGUGGGAGGAUUGCUUAAGCCCAGGAGGCGGAGGUUGCAGUGAGCUGAGAUUGUGCCACUGCACUCCAGCCUGGGUGACAGAGUGAGACUCCAUCUCAA